GACUGUAUCCUGCAGAUCAGCUUACAAGCAACACUUAUCCCCCACUCUACUCUGCCUAUCUAUCCCUAGCUAUGAGUAUUGUACCGUCCCUCCCUGGGUGCUCAGGAUUAAAGGUAAAGCCAACAAGGAGACCAGUGUCUUAGUCGUGAGCCUGUUUUUAAUGAAUACAACUGCCUUCUGCUGAGAAGGACCUUAGGAAUCCAUGAGCAUAAUUGUGCAGGUUUGCCAGAAGUUGGUCCCCACUGCCCCCCUUCCGUAGCAUACAGAAAUGAACAGUUGAUUUCAGGAGGGUGCCAGUGUUCUAUUUUUAGAACACCAUGUUUUCAUCCAGGGCCGUUCAGGUAGUUCUCAUUUUAAAUCUCUAACAUCUGGCCAGCAUACGGCUUCUGACAUCUGGCUUCCACUUGUUCUACAAGGGAGCUAUUUUGACGAAUUUCUUCAUCUUUGCAGUGGGAACAUUACCUGUUUCUGGCAGGCUCUGAGGAUGGCCGGGUUGCGAGUUUGUGACAGCGUAUUAGAAACAAAACACAUAGAACCAACACACUCAUCAUGAUUUUAUUAUUAAUUGAGCUCCCAGGGGAGUUUUCCUAGUAAAUCUCGACAGGUAUUUUAUGUGAUUGACUUAAACUCUCUUUAACCUACCACACAAUAAGACACCGUCUUUCUUCUAUUGAGGUUCUGUACCUCUGACUGUAGCAGGACUUCAUAGCUCAGUAGCUGGGGUUGGGCCAUGUUUUCCUCACAGUUACUACCACAGAGGCAUGGUGCCAAAGUAGGGAGCAUAAACAACUCUUCACUCCAUGUGGGUGAAGACCAAGGCCUGUUCCACACUCCACAACUCCCCUUGAGUCCUAGUAACAACCUUCUUGAGAAGGCAUACAGCCUCUUUGCAGCAGUAGAACACCGCAAAGCAUUAGAAGAGCUACUGAAAGCUAGCUCACCUGCAAACUGCUUCACCAAGGAGCCUCGUUGGUUUUCUCUAUAGCAGUUUCGUGUUUGUAUAGAACUCCACUUUUCUUGAUACACUUUUUUUUUUAAUAAGCAACCAGCAUGAAGGUAGUCUGAAGAAUAUGGGGCGUAAAGGAGAUAAAGCGAUCUCCAGUGUGAAGUUGAAGUCAUACGACGACAUGUUAAUUCCGCAUAGCAUUCUUGGUGACUGUUUCACGAUGAUGCUGUCACCCCAGGGUGAAGGUCUUGCUCUCAGUCCAGUAACGACAGCUCUGUGCUUUGCAUUGCUCUGGCAAACUGUUUUUCAUCCCUCAAACUCUUAGCCUUUGUUGGUAUUCUCUGCAAGUCUAUUGUAGAGUUCUCUCUCAGCCUCCUGGCCUCAGUGAGGGGCUUUAAUUGUGAGGCUCCUGUGCGUCCCUGGAAUGAGGAUUCCUGCAAGUUCUGUAAACCAGAGGGCCAGAAGAUGGGACGGCUACACCCGUGAGAGUAUAUGUAGAAAAAACUAGUUAUUCCACCCUUCGCCCUUGGUUGAAAAUAAGUUGCUUCUACCUAAACUGUGGGAGCAAUUUACACCCCACUGAGGAGCUGCCUUGGGGUUCCUUAACUGCUGAGUGAGGAUUGAUUGACAGCUGCUGUCUUCAUUGACAACAGGGAUAGAGUGAGCCUUAUACAGACUCAGUGGGGCGGGACUUUCCCCGUUGAAUGCUGCUUUAUUUCUUUUCAGCCAAAUGCCAUUUACAUGUGCCCACCAUUUGAAAAUCUGCUUUGACUGUCUGCCUCUCACAGAAAAGAAGUAAAGCAAGCGUUGCAACAGUCACAGAUAGCAUCUUGGCAUUUCCUUCGCCUUCUCAAAAUGCACCUUUCGGAUGUUUGUGAGCAAGAUCUUAGGGGAAGUCUUAUCUUUUCGCAUGGAACUCUUUCUUGUAAAGGCAUCACUGUAAGGCAAGCUUGUGAAAACUUUGGAAUGCUUUGUGAGCUGGCUCUGUCCAUAAAGGUUCCUUUGCCCUCUGGAUGGAUGAGGCCUGCGCAUGACUUGUUUAUGAUGUCACCCUGUUAGUCAUGGUAACUCCUUCUUCUUUUUGUUUUUAUUCAUUUUCAAGACUGUAGUUUAAUUACAUUUCUCCCUUUCCUCCCUCUAAAUCCUCCCAUAUACCUUGCUCUGCUCCCCUUUAAAUUCAUGACCCCUCUCUUCAUUAAUUGUUGUCUUGUGCAUAUGUGCAUUUGUAUACACUUUAACUUUUUAAAAGAAAAGCAAUGGGUAUCAUCGAUUCACAGUUAACUGGCUUGAUUUUUAUUUUAUUUUUAUUUUUUUAUUUUGGCGCGUGCUUUUGAAGCUGGUAGAGGAUAGAUGCAGAGCUAGACUGCCAGACUCUUCAGGAUACUUCGUCUACAUGUUAACAUUUAAAUGAAAGGGAUUCUGUCCUCCUCUGUGAAAAUAGUUGUGUAAUCAUGGCUCGGAGUCAGUCGUUGUGGUUGACAGCAUUGUAAAUCAAGGAAAGCUGUCUGGUCUCUAUCAAGACCCAAGAGGAUGACCCUGUCAUCCUGGUCUCCAUAGAUGGGAAGACACUGAUCACAGCCUGCUCAAACAAUGCUCAGACUUGUAUCCAAGAGUUUUAUGAGAAAAGAUUGUUAUGUUCUGAUCCUCAGCAGUUCAUGAGUCUUUUUCCAAUGCACUGAUGGUUUCUUUCUUCAUCUGCGUGUUCAAGGAAACUUAUUAAGUACCUACUUCCAUUAUAAAAUAAGGCAUUUGGGGUAUUCUGAUAGCACAGAAAUGGGGCCAUGUAACAAGUUGUAAAGCAUUAGUGGCCCCUCCACUAUUUCCAUGAAUUAGUUAGUCAUUCAUCAUUUAUAUUCUGCAUGUCUGUUAUGGCCCAUUCAACUCAUUCAGAAUAUUCAUUGAGUAUCUACUGUGUGCCAUACCAAGACUGUUGUGAAUUCUCAGACUAUCGUAGUCAACAUAUCAUACGCAAAAAAAUAUGAACACCCCUGUGAAGACCAUAUUCUUUUGCUUCUCAUCUAUAUUUUAAAAUCAUUAGUAAUUUUAUGUGUAUGAGUAUGCUCUUAAUGUAUGUUUGACAUCUUUGUUCUUUAGUGCAGUUUCUUUGACAUUAUAGGAAGUUGUUUCAGAGUUUGAAUGUGUUUCUGAAUACAACUGCCCUUAUAUGUAAAGAUGUCUGAAAAAAAUUCAGAUAAAAUUUUAUUAUAAACUAGCAUGCAAAGGUUAUUAACUAUUGAAGAAAAGUCAUCCUAUGAAUGAAUUUACAAGAGUAACAGUUUUAACAAAUAUCACUUAUUAAAAACCUAAAGUUCAUUCUUCCACAUGCAGCUAGAAUACCAAAAAUAUCCCAGUAAAUAUCCAAGCAUACAUAUGAGAACAAUGACUGCAUGU
rnacentral:lncRNA from 1 species